CUGUUGGAUGAUGAGGACAUGAUGUCCUAUAUUCUGGCGGGGUCGAUGAGGACUUCGAGCCGGUCAUUUCCUCUCUGGUUGGGCGAUCAGAGAUGGUCUCCAUCAACGAGAUCUACUCUCAGUUGCUUAGCUUUUAGA
rnacentral:snoRNA from 1 species